GCCCGGGUGGCGGAAUUGGUAGACGCAGCAGACUCAAAAUCUGCCGGGGGCAACCUCGUGGGGGUUCGAUUCCCUUCCCGGGUA
rnacentral:tRNA from 2 species